GGACUACAGGGGUUUCUAAUCCCUUUCGCUCCCCACGCUUUCGUCCCUGAGUGUCAGGUGCGUUCCAGCGAGCUGCCUACGCAUUUGGUGUUCUUACCGAUAUCAACGCAUAUUACUACUACACCGGUAAUUCCGCUCGCCUCUUCCGACCUCUAGUCGUGCCGUAUCGACGGCAGUUUCCGGGUUGAGCCCGAAAAUUUAACCAUCGACGCACAUGACCACCUGCGGACCCUUUACGCCCAAUAAAUCCGGAUAAUGCUUGAGGUCUCUGUAUUACCGCGGCUGCUGGCAC
rnacentral:rRNA from 1 species